GCAUAUCAAUAAGCGGAGGAAAAGAAACCAACCGGGAUUGCCCUAGUAACGGCGAGUGAAGCGGCAACAGCUCAAAUUUGAAAUCUGGCUCUUUUAGAGUCCGAGUUGUAAUUUGCAGAGGGCGCUUUGGCUUUGGCAGCGGUCCAAGUUCCUUGGAACAGGACGUCACAGAGGGUGAGAAUCCCGUACGUGGUCGCUGGCUAUUGCCGUGUAAAGCCCCUUCGACGAGUCGAGUUGUUUGGGAAUGCAGCUCUAAAUGGGAGGUACAUUUCUUCUAAAGCUAAAUAUUGGCCAGAGACCGAUAGCGCACAAGUAGAGUGAUCGAAAGAUGAAAAGCACUUUGGAAAGAGAGUCAAACAGCACGUGAAAUUGUUGAAAGGGAAGCGCUUGCAGCCAGACUUGCUUGCAGUUGCUCAUCCGGGCUUUUGCCCGGUGCACUCUUCUGCAGGCAGGCCAGCAUCAGUUUGGGCGGUAGGAUAAAGGUCUCUGUCACGUACCUCUCUUCGGGGAGGCCUUAUAGGGGAGGCGACAUACUACCAGCCUGGACUGAGGUCCGCGCAUCUGCUAGGAUGCUGGCGUAAUGGCUGUAAGCGACCCGUCUUGAAACCACGGACC
rnacentral:rRNA from 1 species